UACACUCCUAUGAAAAUACAUCCAACCCCCUUCACACAGCAAAGACGGAAGAGGGACACUGGGGAGAGGAAGCCCAGAAUGGCCCGAGGCAGCCCGAUGUGCAGGGGCAGAACACCACUGUGAACUUGUGGCUCUGCCAGUAGCUGGCUCUGUCACUCAGUGUUCUCUGAGCCUCAGUUUCUUUUUUCUAACGCUUAGCUGACGAGGCUCACUGAGAGGAGUGGAGGUGGUAACGUACAUGAGCUGCAAGCAAGUGCACGCUAAGAGCAAGCGCAGUCUUCACACACUGAGACCUGUUCUUCCUGCAUCCUGCACUGCAAGCAAUAACUAAAGAGACAGAGACACCCACCCCAUCAUUCAAGAAGGACUCCAAGCUUCCUUGGCAGCCCUGGGCUGGCAGAGGGGCCCUGCUUCUCAGCCACUCAGCCUCCCAUUUAACUGGUACUCUCGGAGUCAGGAUGAGUGCACCCAGAGAGGAUUGGGUCUGUGACUUUAGGCGCUAUGUCAAGUGUCAAGGGACAAAGAAGACUCACACAGCAGCUCUGGGAAAUAAAAGCCUUUAGUGGUCUCAGGGUAUUCUCUCGCUGCAGACCAAUGGCUGCGAAUGCCUCUGAAGAGGAGCACACCUCAGUCCUAGAAUAACUGUCUGAACAUGAGACCCCGUUCUACCAUCUGUUGACUAUAUAAGCCUGUUAGUAAUAUCUGUAUCAUAACAUUCCUUCAUCUGCAGAGAUGAUCACAGAACCCUACCUUACAGAAUUAUGAUGAAGAUAAAAAAAAAUCAUAUCUAAAACCUACAAGUCAUUUAAGUAUAGUAAAUGUUCAAUAGGUGUUAAAAAUCGCUACUUCUCUAGAUGUACUAGAAAAAUGCACCCACCAAGUAUUCUACACACAUCACCAGGGAGAGACUUGAAUAUUUGUUACUGCUGUGAAAUCAACAAAUCCUCCUUGACACUUAAUGCAGUGCCUGCAUUGAUCCAGGACUUAGAGGAAAUAGAGAAACAGUAUCACUUGACUACACAGGGGAGAAAAAGCGAAUGGAUUAAGGUGAGAAUAUCAGCAUGCACAACUUUAAGAAUCGUGGUCCAGUGCUUCCCGCACAGGAGGCUGGUUGCCCCAGGAACAGGGCAGGAUGGCACAGGAUGUUCAUGAAGCAUGAUUUUUCUUUUAUAAGCUAUUUUCAAUAGAAUUUUAAUUUAACAUCGGCGCAAACAUUCUGAAGGGAAGUUCAAAUUUGCAAUCAUUUUUUAAAGACAAGCAUGAGAUGUCAAAAAAAAAAUUUCCCACAUUGGCUAUGAGACAGAUAAACAGACACAUAUUCUGCACCCCCACACUGAGUCAUUCCUCGCCACGCAGUGGGAAAGUCUGAGAGACAUAUUCUGAACAAGAGCAGACAUUCAAGCACACAGAGCCAAUGAGCUGGAAAGAGCCUCUGGAAGGGUUCCAGGCCUGCAGGUGAAGCCACGGCUGUGCCAGGGAAGCUCAAGCCAAGGCCCCUGCUGAUAUACAGUUCUUUCAUUUACAGACCUAAAGCUGUCGGAGCUCUCCACUGCUGGAUAAAAUUCUGUAUUAUAUAAGGCCUUGAGCACUCAUCCACCAGCCACUGCACUGCACCAACUCACUAACAAUGUUUGGAGGGUCUGAAAGUUUUGGUUUUCCUGGAACACAUGGUAUUUCUUCUCUGAGGAGAGGGGGUUCUCAGGGACCUCAUAGUAUACGCCAAUAUUCUAAAGCUCAAAUGCCCUUCCUAAGGGAUCACACACACACACACACACACACACACACACACACACACACAUCUCAGAAUCCCAUCUCAGUUGUUUUAAGACAGGGGAUACCCACCAUGCAGCUCAGCAGCCUUUUCUUCUCCAAAUCACACAGCCCCAACCUCAUUCAUCAAAUUUCCCAUCUUUAAUCUUUGUGGAGAGUAUCGAAGUUCCAAAGAAAACUGGAAAUUGAUGAGACUGGAUCAGGAACUCGAGUCACUUGAAGAAGGCUGGAACUUAGUUGCUAGCACCCAUGUUGAGCACUCACAUUCACCUCCAACUCCAGGACAUCCAGCAUACUCUUCUAGCCUCCAUGUGCCCCUGCACACAGGAGUAGGUGCAAGCACACACACGCACACGCACAUGCACACACGCACAUGCACGCAUGCUUGUAUGCACAUAAAUUAAAAUAAAUCUUUCAAAAAAGGAAAUUGAAACUAAGCUUUAAUUUUUUUCCCCAGUUAUUUCCCAGCCAUGCACAUUUGAGAGGGGGAAAAAAAAAAUCAUUCAAUUGUUGAAAUGUUCCAGAUCCUUCAUCUUGAGUGUGAAAUCUUUAAAGGGCUGUUAUGUGUCUGAAAUGAAACACCACAUGGAUAAAUACCAAAAGAAGCACCUGUUAAGUAUGAAGCAAAAGAAGCUAUGAAGUAAAGAGGCACCCUCACAAAAUGGAAUGAAGUCCUUGCCUGCUGUACAUUCAACAGAGAACUGAUAUACAGAAUAAGAACUCUUUUUUAAAAAGUAAACAAACAAAAACAAUAAUUGAAAAGUGUACCAGAGUCGUAAACAGAUAUUUUUUAAAAGAAAUACAAAUGGCUAACAAGACUUUAAAAGAUGUUCAACAUCAUUAGCAACAGUUGGGGGAGGGGAGACAAAUUGAAAGAUCCAUGAAGUUCCAUCUCACCCCAGUGACAAUGACUGUCAUCAUGAAAUCAAAUGACAGCAAGUGCUGGAAAGAAUGUGGAGAAACUGGAAACCUCACUGACUGUGAGUGGGAGUGUGAACAGGCACAGCCACGCCGCAGGUCAGUCCGGAGGGUCCUCACAAAGCUAGAAACAGAACUCCAUGAGCCACCACACCUCUCAGAGACAUCUACUCGAAAGGACGGCAUAUCCUACUCGAGACUCUCAGUCAAAUACAGUCAUUGCUUGUCUAUUCACAACAGUCAGGAAAGAAAAGCUGCCUGGAUAUCUGUCAAUAGAUGAAGAGAGAAUGAAAAGGUGAUACAUUUA